AAGUUACCAAGCCGGAGGAACUUGUUCGCUUGUAUGAUCUUUUACUACAAAAUAUUGCUGAUCUUUCUGAUUUAGUCAGUUCUGGAAGAGAUAGGAGGCAGGAAGAAGUAACGUUUGCUGAAGAGUGCUUGCUUAAAAGCAUUGCUUUUCGUGGAGAAAGGUGCUUUUACUUGGCAAAAUCAUACAGUUUGGCUGGAAAAAGAGCAGAAGCUUAUGUACUAUAUU
rnacentral:misc_RNA from 1 species